GACGAACGCUGGCGGCGUGCUUAACACAUGCAAGUCGAACGAAGAGCGAUGGAAGCUUGCUUCUAUCAAUCUUAGUGGCGAACGGGUGAGUAACGCGUAAUCAACCUGCCCUUCAGAGGGGGACAACAGUUGGAAACGACUGCUAAUACCGCAUACGAUCUAAUCUCGGCAUCGAGGAUAGAUGAAAGGUGGCCUCUACAUGUAAGCUAUCACUGAAGGAGGGGAUUGCGUCUGAUUAGCUAGUUGGAGGGGUAACGGCCCACCAAGGCGAUGAUCAGUAGCCGGUCUGAGAGGAUGAACGGCCACAUUGGGACUGAGACACGGCCCAGACUCCUACGGGAGGCAGCAGUGGGGAAUCUUCCGCAAUGGUCGAAAGUCUGACGGAGCAACGCCGCGUGAGUGAUGACGGCCUUCGGGUUGUAAAGCUCUGUUAAUCGGGACGAAAGGCCUUCUUGCGAAUAGUGAGAAGGAUUGACGGUACCGGAAGAGAAAGCCACGGCUAACUACGUG
rnacentral:rRNA from 1 species